CCAUGGUAACUUAUAGGCCAUGGGCCGAGUCCCUCUAUCUGCUUUAGUUUUUAAUUUCGUAUUUCCCCAUCAAGGGUCUAGCUAAUUUUACAGUAUUGUGUAGAUUAAUUGUUUAUAAAACACACAAUAAAAUGUUUUGAACGCAAAAGUUGGACAUUUUUAAUAAAACGUAGAAAGAAGUUCACGAAACCGAUCUAAAAUGUUAACCAAUCAAAGCUCGCCUAACUUUACCGUGAAAUUCACUUGGCCAAUCACGUUCGUCAUACCAGAGGAAACCGGAAAUCCUACGACUGGCACUGUUGUAAACAAGAAGAGAACCGAAGGCUUAAGGUAACAGUUAAUGUAGAUUGUUGGGCCAGCUGGGUUUGAAUCUUGGAUGCUGUGACGUCGCUGACAUUGUCUGGCGGUGGUUCUCUAAACAUGGCUAUGGAGUGUAAGGUGAGAGGAGCAGGCGCUGACAUAUGGAUCUGGGAAUUUAUAAUGGUGGAUGAAGAGAAGUGGACUGUGUCAAAGGAGCUGACAUUAGUGGCCUGGAGAGCACCAUAGUCUUUUUUCCAGAGGGUGGCCAAGUUCUUGGUCUGCAGUUUUAUUUAUAUUAAAUGUUGCAAUUGCUUUUUCUGUGAUUGGACUGAAGAGGUUAACCCAUGGUGUCAAACUGGUGCCAUGGAGGGCCGAGAGGCUGCAGGUUUCCAUUCCAACCGAAAGCUACAGCAGGUGAUUUCACUGAUCACCUCACCUCCAAGCAGAGAGAGGGGACUAAUCAGUGAAAUCACCUGGUGGAGUUUUCGGUUGGAAUGAAAACCUGCAGCCUCUCAGCCCUCCAUGGCACCAGUUUGACACCUCUGACCCAUUUCUUCAUGUGUUCCGUCAUCCUGUUUGGUCUGUGGUGUAAUACUAUGUGAUAAUAUAC